rnacentral:misc_RNA from 1 species
GGAAUAUUGGACAAUGGGGGCAACCCUGAUCCAGCAAUGCCGCGUGAGUGAUGAAGGCCUUCGGGUUGUAAAGCUCUUUUGCCAGGGACGAUGAUGACGGUACCUGGAGAAUAAGCCCCGGCUAACUUCGUGCCAGCAGCCGCGGUAAUACGAAGGGGGCAAGCGUUGUUCGGAAUUACUGGGCGUAAAGGGCGCGUAGGCGGCUUAUCAAGUCAGGCGUGAAAUUCCCGGGCUCAACCUGGGGGCUGCGCUUGAUACUGAUUGGCUUGAAUGCGGGAGAGGAUAGUGGAAUUCCCAGUGUAGAGGUGAAAUUCGUAGAUAUUGGGAAGAACACCGGUGGCGAAGGCGGCUAUCUGGCCCGUGAUUGACGCUGAGGCGCGAAAGCGUGGGGAGCAAACAGGA